UACAGAGGUGGCAAGCGUUGUUCGGAAUUACUGGGCGUAAAGGGCGCGUAGGCGGCCCUGUAUGUCCCGUGUGAAAUCCCCCGGCUCAACUGGGGAAUGGCACGGGAAACUGUAGGGCUUGAGUUCGGGAGAGGGAGGCGGAAUUCCGGGUGUAGCGGUGAAAUGCGUAGAUAUCCGGAGGAACACCGGUGGCGAAGGCGGCUUCCUGGACCGACACUGACGCUGAGGCGCGAAAGCUAGGGGAGCAAACGGG
rnacentral:rRNA from 1 species